rnacentral:piRNA from 1 species
CCUUUUUGAUGAGAUUUGGAAAUUUCACU